GGCAGAGGGAGCCCGGCUCCCGUGGCCCGCGUGCCGAUCGGCGCGGCGGGUCAUGAGGAAAGUCCCCCCACCAGCCGGGCAGGCGACCGGGCGCAAGCCCGGAGCGGGAGACCGCUGGCUCUGGAACAGAAACGAGACCCCUUCGCCCGACCGAUGAGGUGCGGGCGGUGGCGAUACCGCCGUCCCGGCGUGAGCGGGCUCAGCUCGCGCGCGAACCCGACCCGAGAAAGAUCCCGGCCAUCCGUGUCGGGACCGAACAAGGAACGAGGAGUUAACCCACCGAGGGCCGCGCGGUCGCAAAGGACCGGGCAGGGCGGAGAACGGAUGGAACGGCGAAUCCUCGCCGGUGUAAGUCCACACAACAGGUAGCCCGGGCGUGGUGUGGACGCAUAGCCGAAUGCCGGGCCGAACAGAAGGGGGCUUACUCCCCUCAGCC
rnacentral:RNase_P_RNA from 1 species